UGGGGAAUAUUGGACAAUGGGCGCAAGCCUGAUCCAGCCAUGCCGCGUGAGUGAUGAAGGCCCUAGGGUUGUAAAGCUCUUUCACCGGUGAAGAUAAUGACGGUAACCGGAGAAGAAGCCCCGGCUAACUUCGUGCCAGCAGCCGCGGUAAUACGAAGGGGGCUAGCGUUGUUCGGAUUUACUGGGCGUAAAGCGCACGUAGGCGGACUAUUAAGUCAGGGGUGAAAUCCCGGGGCUCAACCCCGGAACUGCCUUUGAUACUGGUAGUCUUGAGUUCGAGAGAGGUGAGUGGAAUUCCGAGUGUAGAGGUGAAAUUCGUAGAUAUUCGGAGGAACACCAGUGGCGAAGGCGGCUCACUGGCUCGAUACUGACGCUGAGGUGCGAAAGCGUGGGGAGCAAACAAG
rnacentral:rRNA from 1 species